ACUUAAAUUGAAGAGUUUGAUCAUGGCUCAGAUUGAACGCUGGCGGCAGGCCUAACACAUGCAAGUCGAGCGGUAGCACAGAGAGCUUGCUCUCGGGUGACGAGCGGCGGACGGGUGAGUAAUGUCUGGGAAACUGCCUGAUGGAGGGGGAUAACUACUGGAAACGGUAGCUAAUACCGCAUAACGUCGCAAGACCAAAGUGGGGGACCUUCGGGCCUCAUGCCAUCAGAUGUGCCCAGAUGGGAUUAGCUAGUAGGUGGGUAACGGCUCACCUAGGCGACGAUCCCUAGCUGGUCUGAGAGGAUGACCAGCCACACUGGAACUGAGACACGGUCCAGACU
rnacentral:rRNA from 1 species